UCCUCAGGGUCCCUAACGUACUGGACAGAGCUAGGAAAGCAAACCCAUUUGCUUCUUCCUGCAGGAAACCCCUUGAGGUUAAGACCCCACAAUCACAUGAGGAUGGAGUGGCUCACCCUCAGUCAACAGGCCAGACUCAAGGGGUUCCUGGCAAGUCAUUUCUCCCUCAGGCCUUCGGUUUCCUCACCUACGAGAUGAGAGGGCUGGACCAGAUGGAAAUUCAGGGGGUAAGGGGAUGUCCUCGCGCAGCCCACCCCCACCCCCACGGGACCCUGGAGCCUCCAUCCCAGUUCCCACCACGCACCCGCUCCACAAAUCCUGCCCAAG
rnacentral:lncRNA from 1 species